rnacentral:rRNA from 1 species
UACAGAGGGUGCGAACGUUGCUCGGAAUUACUGGGCGUAAAGCGCGUGUAGGCGGCUCGUUAAGUCUGCUGUGAAAGCCCGUGGCUCAACCACGGAAGUGCAGCAGAAACUGGCGAGCUUGAGUCCUGGAGAGGGUGGCGGAAUUCCCAGUGUAGAGGUGAAAUUCGUAGAUAUUGGGAGGAACACCGGUGGCGAAGGCGGCCGCCUGGACAGGUACUGACGCUGAGACGCGAAAGC